rnacentral:rRNA from 1 species
GGACCCACACAAGCGGUGGAUCGCGGGGUUUAAUUCGUCAAUAAGCGAUUAACCUUACCCAGGCUUGACAUCCUAAUCAUACUCUUUGGAAACAGAGAGGUCGGCUCGGCCGGAUUAGUGACAGGCGCUGCAUGGUUGCCGUCAGCUCGUGCCUUGAGGUGUUCGGUUAAGUCGUGAACGAGCGCAACCCUCAUCGUGUGUUGUAUUUUCACACGAGACUGCCGAUUAAAAGUCGGAGGAAGGUGAGGAUGACGUCAAAUCAGCAUGGCCCUUAUGCCUGGGGCUACACCCACGAUACAAUGGCAAGUACAAACCGAAGCAAACAGCAAUGUCGAGCCAA